UUGUUAUAUUCUGGGAUAAAUCUUCAUAUUCACCUAUCACGUAUCACAUAUUGUAAGGGUACGUAGAUUUUUUUUUCCCUCCUUGUUUCUCUGAUUUCAUUUUAAUUUUACUAGCAAUUCAAUCAACCUCUAUGCAGUUGUGCGAUUUUCAAUUCUUCAUUUGCUCUUUCGAUUUCUGGUUCAAUUUUGUUCAAUUUUUGUAAUUGACGGUUUGGUGCAUUUCAAAUCUUAUUUUUCUGGUUAAUUAAAUUCUCUUAUUUCUUUUGAGUUUUAAUAGCACUCAACAUGUUCGAUGAAAUGCUUUAACCAAAUUUCUAGUUGGUUUUACUAUUUCUGGUUGGUAAAGUUUGCAUACUAAAUUCUCUUGUUUAAUGAAUGAAUUGUUUGACUUAGAAGGACCAAUUUAAUGAUAAUGCCCUUGACUUAUUCUAGUUCUUGCUUUAAAGACAAGUAGAAUUUGAUUCAUGAACUUAGUGGCUGUUCCUUCAUCUUCUCGCUGAUUUUUUGUAUCUAAUUUUUCUAAAACUUAAUUUCUGUGAUAUCUACUUUUGAUGGAUUGUCUCUCUAUUUACUGUAGACAUUUGUCAGCCAAAGCAAAGAAAUAAAAAGAAAGAAAAUAACUUAAUUAUGCUGUAAGAAAUUAAGUUUUAGGCUUGUAGAGCAUGAUGGCAAUAGAAAAAUUUUAUGGUACAUAUCUCAAACUAGUUUCUAAGCCUUAGUACAUAUCUAGGAUUUUACUUUUAUGAGGUAUAAAAAUCAUUUUUGGUGUUAUUUUGCAAAGCAGGAAGGAAACAGUAACCUCAAGGCUAAGGAGCCACUUCUUUAAUGCAUUCGUGCAUACAGGGAGGUAAAAUUACUAUUAUAUGUUCUUUAACUCAUUGAGCUUUGAAUUACUUCUCUAAUAUAUUUAUAUCAGCAAUUUACAUCUGAUUAGUUAUAUGGCUAGAAAGUUAUACUGUUUCAACUGAUGCCUUCCAUAAAAUAGUGGUUAGUCUCUUUAUGAUUAAAUUUUUGAGAUUGGAAGCAAUAGUGAAUUGUCCUUUUAUGGUUAAAUUUUGUGGUUAGUCUAUUAUAUUAUUUUGCUACUGAAUUACUUUGCUGUUGCUAGCUAACAGUAGGACAUGAUCAUUUAUCCACUAGCUAGUAAAAUAGUCAAUUUCAAACCAUAAGUUUCAAUAAUUUCAAAACAGAAAAUCUUAGCUAUAUAUGUAAACUGAAAUAAAAUAAUAAGGGCCAGGUGAACUAGAAAAUUACAUGUAUAUAUCUUGGAAUGUUGAUAAUUAUUAUAAAAUAAUAAAUUAAACUUUUCCUUUUUAAUUAAACUUUUUGGACUAUUGUUUUUAAUUUGUUCUUCAUCUAGUUAACUAGUAUAAAACUUAAUUAACUUUCAGCCUCUUUCUUAAUAAUAAUAUAUUCAUUGGCCUGAAUCUUUAUAACAGUAUUGAUGACUUUUAUAGGUUGCUUCCAUGUCUUUUUCUUAUUUUUUUAAUAAGAAAACCAAGACUGCUUAUUGUUUGGUCCCUAACAAAGGAUCUUAAAUCUUAAGAUUUAGUAUCUCAUAUUGCUUCUUUCUUGUUCGUUGGAUUGGUAUACUUUAUUAAUUAUCGUCUCUAUUUUUAUUUGAAAUAAUUAAUGUACAAGAGCUCUAAGGUCAGCACAUUUAAAUCAAUAAAUAAUGGUUACCAUUAGUAUUUAGUAGUUCGAAUUAUACUUACUGUGAAAUCUGUUCGACAUGCCAUCAUCUUCUCUGCCCUCCUAGCAAACCUUUCUUCUCUUUCCCCAUCACGAACAGAGCAGCUAAGUGAAACAAUUAUGGUUGAACUUUUGCAUUUGUGUCUUUAUGCAUCUGACCUGUUCGACGAAAUGCUUCGUCCAUCUAAGGAAAUCAAGGUAAACCUUUAUGCUUAUUCCUUUGAGUCUCUAUCUUACUGUAUGUUAAGUUUCAAUUUUAAGGUUUGUGCAAUCAUGAAAUUCUUAUUCAUUUGUUUGUAAACUUAAUAUUUGUCCUGCAAUAUAGUUUGAGAGUCAUGAAAAUGUAAAAGCUUUUUAUGAGAAAGAAUAAGGUGUACAUAUAUUCCUAAUUUAUAUGUUUAAUUAAUCCUCUGCUGCUGUGUGUAAUAAUUCUUUUGUACUUUUAUUUUAAUUCUUAAAAGCAAAUCAUUGUUUCUUAUCCUAAUAAUAGGUAAGAGAUAUAAAGGUAGCAUAUAGGAUUGAAUUGAAUAGGAAAGUUUAUUAUUACAAUAGCUAACUAGUUUAUUGUGUAAUUGAAGUUCGAAUGAACAAAACUUGAAACAAAAUAGUAAUGCAGACUUCAAACACGUUUGCUUUGCUUCAUUUGAUUUGGAGCUUUGACUAUAUUUAAUUUGUUUUUUUAUUUGGAUUUGGAACUUUGACUUUUCCAAGUUGCUGAAUCGAUCUUUGCGAGAAAAUGAAAGUCUAGUUCUCCAUGGUGAAGCUCUGAAGGCCUCAUACCCACUUUUGUGUUGCUUUUGGGUCUUUUUUAUCAUUCCAGAGUCUCCUAGAUGGCUGGUGAAGAGAGACCGAGGAAAAGAAUUCGAGGCAGCAUUGAGAACACUUUGUGGAAAAGAUGCUGAUAUAUGUCAAGAGGCAGAUGAUGUAACUUAAUUAUACAUUUGUAUAGCAAUUCUGGCGCUCUGCGAACAGGAAUAGAAGAAAUUAUUGUCACUUCGACUAUAGAACGUGUCGCUAUUGACUCUCAGAGGCCGGCAGAUGACGUGCAAUGUAUUAAAAGGAGAAGGCUUAUGCAAUUCAAAGAGGAAGAAGAUGAACACCUUGAACUAAAUGUUGUAGAUCCCAGAGGGAUUUUUCUUUAUUUUUAGUUUUCUCUUAUUUUUUAUUUUAUGUUUUGAAAUACAAUGUUGGUAUUUUUGUGGAAUUCUACUUUUGUGAAGGAAAUUUUUGAUAUUAUAGUAUUUGUAUACAUAUAUAUA